GGAGGCACACCUUGUAAAUACAAAAGUCAACAAGAUGUGGAAGCGGGGGAGACCCUCAGGCUGGAGAGGAGGAAGUGGGGGUGGUGAGGGUGGGUCGGUCAAGGGUGGCUUCAGAGCGCUGGGCCUCCCCCCAGGCCGGCCCCAGCCCUGAAGCCCCAGACUUCUUGCUCCUCCUCUCCACCCUCUCAUCCAGAGCUCCAUCUGAUCACGACAGCAGCCGCCACCCUAAAAGGGGCCCAGAGACCUGGUCUCUCGACACAGAGAGAGCGAGCCGCUCAGGUCAGGGUCAGUGACUCCGGGCUGGGUCAGCAGGCCUGGACUCUUGCCUUGGCUGAGCCCAGACCCUGGUCACACCCUGAGCCCUGACCCUGCCACAGAUUGUUGCCUUACCUGUAACCCACCGUCACGUGGAGGUGGGAGGAAGGUCACAGCUUCCCGUGGCCUAUCUCGACUACAGGAGCCACUUAGUACCAUUGACAGCCAGCACACGCCAUCUUCAUGAACAAGGGUGCCGUGCCCUGACUGGUUUGGAGGUUUAAUGCCAUGGGUCCUUCAGAACACCUUGGCAGAGCCACAGGAUCUGGUGUCAUCGAAGACGUAGGCCCGGGAGUGAAUUCUGCCUGGUCAGGGGGGCAAGCAGAGUCCAGGAGCGCUGCCGGGACCCCUGAAGGGCCCAGAAGACUUGGGAGCUGCAGAAUCGGAUGGCUGAGCAGCCUUUGAACUGGUUUAGGUCCAAGCCUGUUGACACCAACACAGUCAACACCUCCUCAGUGCAUCAUGUGAUGCUAAGACAGGUUCACAAGUGAGCUCAAGGGCCGGGGUGCCCAGGCUUGGGCUCCACUCCCCAAAGUCCCACAGAUACCUCCACUCUCUACCUGAGAGGACCCAGGAGGCUCUGGGGGUGCUGGACACCCAGGUCCCUACCCCUAAAGGCUCUACUGAUUUCCCCCAGGUCGAGUGUUUUGGGGAGGGAAAUGUAAUCCACAUAUUUUGAUUCAUUUGCAUUAAAGUCGUGACAAAGCUUUGUGAGAGCCAUUUGUGCUUGUGUGUCUGUCGAGCAGUCUUAGCCGUCUUUGGGAGGAGGACUUUUCCUUCUCUCAGGGAAGCAGGAAGUCAAGCUGCUCCAGGAGCUCUGACCUGACCCCUUCAGUGCUGGCUUGCCCCGCCCGCGUCCUCACAGCUGGAAAUGAGAGGCCCAAAUCGGCCUCUCUUGGAGUACAGCAAACCCGCACCCACGGGCCUGGCCCUUAAAGUGCUCUGCAAUCUGCCACAAGCUGUCUCGGUAGCAGGCAGCACCCUACCA
rnacentral:lncRNA from 1 species